rnacentral:rRNA from 1 species
CAGUCGCCGCGGUAAUACGUAGGUGGCAAGCGUUGUCCGGAAUUAUUGGGCGUAAAGGGCUCGCAGGCGGUUUCUUAAGUCUGAUGUGAAGGCCCCCGGCUCAACCGGGGAGGGUCAUUGGAAACUGGGAAACUUGAGUGCAGAAGAGGAGAGUGGAAUUCCACGUGUAGCGGUGAAAUGCGUAGAGAUGUGGAGGAACACCAGUGGCGAAGGCGACUCUCUGGUCUGUAACUGACGCUGAGGAGCGAAAGCGUGGGGAGCGAACAGGAUUAGAUACCCCCGUAGUCCCUGUCUCUUAUAU